rnacentral:tRNA from 1 species
AUGAGUUUAGUUUAAUAAAAACACUAGUUUGUCAUACUGGAAAUACUUAUUUUUUUUGUAAUUCAUU